CGACAGGAUGCCGUCUCCUAGGAGACAAUAGGAUAACCGGUACAGAAACUGUGGAUCGGCAGUGCCGUCCCUGGGAUAAAGUCCAGACUGACUGACUGAAAAGAAGAAAGUGAGCUGGGCACCAGGACCCCUCUUCCUGACUGAGACUGCCACGUGACCAGCAGCCUCGUGUUCCCUGCCACGUGACCAGCAGCCUCCAGUUCCCUGUCACGUGACUAGAUGCCUCCAGUACCCUGCCACGUGACCACCUGCCUCGUGUUGCUAGUGGAACCCAAGUUGUAUCUUAUUGUAUUUCCAGUUUGCAUUUCCCUAAUGGGGGUGACAACGGGCAUGUUUUCAUGGUCUCAGGAGAUGACCACCCCCAAUGCUAGCUCGGACCCUACACGCCUGCAGUCGCUUCUUCUAAUGACACUCUCCUCACGGCAGCACGCGCCCCAGCUUCACUUGUCUCCUUGGCUAUAAUCAGAAAAUACAUAUAGCAAGCAAGGAUUAUCACCUGUGUGACACUCCGAAGACCUUCUAAAUGGACCCUAUUGAUUAACACCCAUUGGCCAAAGCAUCACCACUCAGGCAUCACCAGAGAAGCUUCUCGUCGUAGGAGGAGGCAGUUCACAUGGAGACUCUCAGCUGGUCAGCACAGCAGAGAGAUAGAAACUCAGCAACUGCAUCAGCACACACAAGAACUGAGCAAACUCACGCCAGACAGAGCCCCAACAUGGAAGGAGAAGGAGGGCAUGAAAUCACAGCACUAGCCAAGGAGAGACUGGCAUUUAACAGCUAGCUGCUGGGGGACAGAGUUUUAUUUUGUGAUCACAGGGAAGUCAACCAUACUCCAGGGCAAACUCCAUCCCCGUCUUACCGGACCAGGGCUUGUUGGGAAACUUGAACUAGA